GACUCUGUUCACGGCCGCGGUAUUCUAACCGUGCGAAGGUAGCGUAAUCACUUGCCCUUUAAAUGAGGGCUAGUAUGAAUGGCAUCACGAAAGUUGUACUGUCUCCUUCCCCUAAUCAGUGAAACUAAUCUCCCCGUGAAGAAGCGGGGAUACUUAUAUAAGACGAGAAGACCCUAUGGAGCUUUAAACCAAGCAUCAACUGCCACUAUAAACCUACAAUUCCAGAAAUAUAAUCUGUACGCUAGCAUAGUGUAAUGCUGGUUUUAGGUUGGGGUGACCACGGAGUAAAAACAAACCUCCGUGCUGAAUCAGGACCUCCUUAAGCAAUAAGCCACAACUUUAUGCAUCAACAAAUUGACAUAAUUGACCCAAUUCUUUGAUCAACGAACCAAGUUACCCUAGGGAUAACAGCGCAAUCCAUUUCAAGAGCCCCU
rnacentral:rRNA from 1 species